UUUUCUAUGGCGGCGUAGCUUACUUCCUGGGGUAAAAUUUUUCUGCUUAAGUAAGCCACUGGAUGCUCGCCGCCAUCUUCUCCGACUUGGCUCAGUACUGCCCCCAAUCCAAACAAAGAAGGGUCUCAGCCAAGACGGAGAGGAUGGCGG